GGUGUCAUCACAGAGCCACAGUGUGAACCUUCAGGUGCCAUCACAAACCCACUAAGAGACCUUUCAGGUGACAUCACAGAGCCACAUUGAGGCACUUCAGGUGACUUCACAGACCACAGAGAGACACUUCAGGUGUCAUCACAGAGCCACAGAGAGACACUACAGUUGACAUUAAUGAGCCACAGAGAGAUGCUUCAAGUGACAUCACAGAGCCACAGUGAGACAAUUCAGGAGACACCACAGAGCAACAGAGUUACCCUUCAAGUGACAUCACAGAGCCAGAAAUUGACACUUUUUGUGACAUCACAGAACCAGAGAGAGAUCCUUUGGUGAUAUCACAGAGCAACACAGACCGCUUCUGCUGAAAUUACAGAGCCACAGAUACACCAUUCAGGUUACAUCACAAAGCCAUUAAGAGACCGUUCAGGUGGCAUCACAGAGCCACAGAGAGACCCUUCAGUUGACUUCACAGAGCCACAGAGAGACACUUCAGGUGUCUUCACACAGCCACAGAGACACUUCAGAUGACAUCACAGAGACACAGAGAGACCCUUCUGGUGUCACCACAAACAUGCAGAGAACCCUUCAGGGGACAUCACAGAACAACAGAGAUAACAUUCAGAUGACAUCCCAAAGCCUCCAAAAGACCCUUCAGGUGAAUUCACAGAACAAGAGAGUGACCGUUCUGGUGACAUCACUUAGCGACAGAGAGAUGCUUCAGGUGACAUCACAGAGUCACAGAGACACUUCAGGUGUCAUCACAGAGCCACAGAGAGACACUACAGUUGACAUUAAUGAGCCACAG
rnacentral:lncRNA from 1 species